CAAGAUGUAGCUAUAACCAAAGCAUUCAGCUUACACCUGAAAGAUACCUGCUACCCCCAGGUCAUCUUGA
rnacentral:tRNA from 1 species